AGUGACCACGGCGCUGGGGCAAAGAAACACGACUCUAGGGUUGGGGCUCCCCCGUACCUUCUAAAGGAUUUCGAGAAGCGUCGCUGAGUUACUAAGCAGGUAGCACUUCAGGGUAACGGACCCGGCCACAUGCCAGCCCCUCUACCGCGGACCCGCAGGAAAACUUGACUCCCAUCGUCCCCCACCGUCCCCUCCUGGAGCGGCCCAGGGGCGCCCCCUGUGGCCUCUGUGCGUCGGGAUACUCACCGCGUGGUGUAGCUGGGGCUUCUCCACGCAGUAUAGUGGGUGCCCCACGUGGCCACUGGGAGGAGUGGCGCGCCUUAGGCGCAACCUAGGGUCACAGUGUGUCUCUGAGUCCCCCCUACUUCACUGCCAUACCGGGGCAGACCCCCGGGGGCAAGCCCCGCUCCGUGCGUGCCAAGUGCUGUGCAAAGCGCCCCUGGUACAGCUUCCCGCCGCGGAGCCCGUGGGGACCUGGAGAAGGCUGCAGCGCUAACCUGGAGCACUACUUAAAAUAGCAAAGACUUGGAACCAACCCAAAUGCCCAUCAAUGAGACUGGAUAAAGAAAACGUGGCACGUAUACACCGUGGAAUACUAUGCAGACAUAAAAAGGAAUUCAUGUCCUUAGAGGGAGUUGGAUGAAGCUGGAAACAAUCAUUUUCAGGAAACUAACGCAGGAACAGAAAACCAAACACUGCAUGUUCUCAAUUGAAGGAUGCGGGGAGCUGCUACUGGUAUUUGGUAGGAAGAAGCCAGAUAUGCUGCUCAACUUUCUACAUUGCACAUGAGAGACCCUCUCCAACUACAUCCAAACACAAGACAAAGAAUGACCUGGACACAAAUGUCAAUAGUGCCAAGUUCCCCAGAAGCCGAUAAUAAGAUAAGGAGGACUGAUGUGCAAGUGAUUUAUUAAGAACAGGUUCCCAGGAAAACUGGUCCUCUAAGGUUAUCACAUGAGAUGGGGUUCCUGUCAAAAUUCCUCAACACCUCACAGAAGACAGCAAAUAUUCUAUAUAUUGAAAAAUGAGGAAUUCUUUUUUAAAAGGGCAGAAACUAAAAGAGCUCCCAGAACCUUUUGACGUACAUUUGGAUGCUGAGGAGAGAGCCAAGUGAAGAGAAUGCAGACUCCUUUGGUCAAGACAAAUUUCAAAUUGGAUUCUACUACUCUACAUAUCUGAGCUUUUAAAGACACAUUUGUAUUACUUCUGGAAGCCUUAGGUGCUACAACAUGAUAGAGCAGGAGCACCAUCAUCUCGGACAAACACCACCACUUGAAGUUCCAGCUCCCUUUCUAGCCUCAUGCAUUUCAAAGAAAUCACUUCUCUUCUAACUACAAGCAACCAGAAGGAGCAGACACGAAAACAGAUAAAACAGCUAAGGCACAGAUGGAGGUGGGGGUGGGGGAAGUCUCUUGGGUAACUGCCAAACUUCACCCUCAUACAAUGGGACCCAGUAAAACAGUGGGCCUUAAUAAGCACAUUCCUUUCCCUUCAGGUACACUAAGAUAGGGAAGCUAAAGGCAGACUCAGGGGGUGGCAGGGGUGGGGAAGCAUGCCUGCAGCUGCAGGAAGAUGUAUGGGAACAGACACACAACUCUUCCUCCCAGGUAAGCACAACAGAGAUACACAGAAGCAGUCCAAGCCUCUGAUAAACUCUUCCACCCUGAAUCCCUAAAAACUCUAAGUCUGUAAGGGAGUGCGGCUUCUGACUUAACUCAGUCAAAAUCCCUCCCAGGUUUGAAAUAAGCCUGUUGACUCUUCAGCCACCAUUUGUGUUUCUCUCUUCUGUCUUUAAUUCUUAAACAUCAGACCUGGGAGACUGCAUCAAGAUCACUUAAAUCUUCUGACGUUCUUUUAAACAGCUCCACUUCCUUCUCACACUUGUCAGGUUUUUUUUUCCCCCUUUUUGGAGGGUGGUAAUAUAAAAAAUCUCCUGUAUGUCUACACAUAUGUAUUUAAAUACACACACACAUACAUAAUAUAUACACACAUGUAGUUUAAGAUACACAAAAUAAUUUUUAAUAAAAGAUUUUGGAUGUUUAUGAAAAAAAAUUAGUGCAUCUUAUGUAUAUACCAGAAAACUAUUUGGUUGAAUAUCUAGAUUUAGUUACAGAUUUUUAAAUUUCACUUAUAGCAAAGUCUUUUUUAAAAAAAAUUCAUCACCAAUUAUGCUAGUACUUGGAUUAUUACUUCCCUCGUAUUCAUUUUUAGUGCCCAAUAUUUUUCAUUCCUUUAUAACUCCCUACCUGUAUCCAGGAGAAGGGACAAAUUUAACUCAAUACAUCAGCCAAAAAUUUGAGUGAUUCUUUAAAAAGACCUGGCUAUUUCCUCUGACCCUCUGCUUUAAAACAAACAAACAAAAAACAGGAAACAGACUCAAUUCCUCACUUGGGAGUAAUUAUAUUUGAAUCCUUUUGUAAAAUCUAAAAUUGAUUUUUUUGAGAGGUAUACACAUUUUAUUUGGCCUCUUACAUAAGAUUAGAUAAGCAGCCAGCCAACAAAAUUCAAGAACACAACUGAGGCAGACAACACUGCAUAAAAACAGCUCAGUUUCCAUACCUCUUUACAAUUUCACAAAGUUAGGACUAAAGAGAAAUGGGGUAAAAAUACUUCCAAAUUGCCUUCUUAGGGUCCAUAAAUUCCACAUUCAGCUUCCUUGCAGCCUCUGCUCUCUCCUUUGACAAAAAUGUCCGGCAGCAUGCAAUCUGUUCAGUGGGUUAAUCCACAGCAGUUUAGAUACAACCUAUUUAUUCUUGCUAUAGGAUAUGUGGAGCCGAGACCACCUAGUCAGCCACACUGUCAGGAUGGAGGUAAUCAUAUGCAAAAAGCUGGAAAUAGAAAAUUUAUUCAAUUUGUGAAUAAGAUUAGAAUUCAAACAUAGUCUCAAACAAAAGGCCAGGGCUGUUUUGUAGCCUCAUGUGGUUGUUUUCUGAGGGACAUGUCAUAGGCAUCAUUUUUGAUAGAAAACUGGCUGAGAGCAAUGCUGAUACAUUGCUGUCAUUAAAGAGAUGUGCAUUAUUUACUUUUUCUGCUUUUGAAACUCUUUAUUGAAAUAUAAUAUAUAAGCAGAAAAAUUCUGAACUCAUAAUUGCACAACUCAAUGCAUUUUGCCAAAAUGCUCCCCCUGUAUACUGACCACCCAAAUCAUGAAGAGUCCUCUCCUGACCUCUAUCCGUAUAAGGAACCAUACAUCCAACACUGUAAAUUUGUUUACCUGUUUCUGAACUUUAAGGCAGCAGAAUCAGUCUUUUUUGUGUUGCUUCUUUUGUCAAUAUUACAUGUUGUAGCAAGCAGUGGGACUCCAUCUUCGUCACUGAAAAAUAUUCCAUUGUGUGAAUAAAACAUAAUUUUCCCCCUUUUCCAUUGUUGAUAGGCUUUGAGUUAUUAAUAAAUGAUGCCAAUGUGAA